GGCUGGCAAAAGCCGACCCAACCCGAUAACCCGACCCGAACCCGACCCGAAAUAAACGGGUUUGGGAAAAAAAAUUCGACCCAUUUAAGUAAUUGGGUCGACCUGAACCCGACCUGAAAUUAAUUGGGUUAGGUUCGGGUUGAAAAUCCCAACCCAAAAAUAACCCGCAUAACCCGUUUAAAAUUUGAGUUAAUAUACCAGAUUUGAGCCAAGCCCAAUGUAAAAACAUACAAGAUAAAACCCUGUCAUUUAUGAGUUAUAUAAAAACAAAGGUUAAAAAGUAAAACCCUAAAAUUUCCCAAAACCCAAACGGCACAGAGCCAAAAACCCUAACAUUUUCUCUCUCUUACUUUUUCAUUCUUGCGUCGCCCUAAUCCAAACUUUGAUGGCUAACCUCCCUGGAGGCUUCAUUUGAGGAAGAAGAGAACUCCCAUGUCUAGCCAAGCUUGAUGCUGAUUUUAUAAUGAUGUUUGAUGGAUUUUGUAUUGUAAUUGGCAUACUUUUAUAUUUUAGUUGCAAAUUAACUUUUAGCAUAUUUAGUUUUAACUCUUAAGUCUGUUGCAAUGUUGGUUUCUUUGUUAUAAAUUUGAAUGUUGGAUAGCUGGAAAUUCGGAAUA